AGUGGACUGUAAGAUGCUCCUUGUGUGAAACGCUGUGAUACUAAGGUCGCUGGUUCAACUCCAGCCGGAAGCACCUCCUUGUCAUUGGAAAUACCCCCAAGCCUUGUCUUUAUCUGUCAACUCCUCCAAAAUGUAAAAACACAAACAAGAUAACUCUUUCUUAAAUUUUUAACCAUCAAUUUUUUAUUCACCCAGCCUAAAAGUCCUGAUUAUCAGUUCUGGGUCCCUGGCAAUGACUGUUGGGUACAAACUGCAAAGCUUUGUUGUGCAGGUAGGGCUGGGCUUUUCAUUGACCAUGGGUUGGAAUAGUUCUGUGGGCAUAGUUUGUCUCCGAAGCCACUAUGUUUUCUGCACUUGUGACUAGAGAGCACCUUGAUAGCUCAGUUGGUCGAGCAGUGGACUGUAAGAUGCUCCUUGUGUGAAACGCUGUGAUCCUAAGGUCGCUGGUUCAACUCCAGCCAGAAGCACCUCCUUGUCAUUGGAAAUACCCCCAAGCCU